UCUACAGGUCGAGCAAGUCUCGUAAAUUUCACGAUUGCGAGCCACGCUUCACGCAACCGUGUUUGCGUACUUGUGUUUCGAGUUGCGUGGUCGUGCGGAGUUAUAUUUACCAAAUUUAAAUGUAAUCCUUUCUACUGAUAAUAAUAUAGUCAAUAUGGCUACUGGGUGUAUAAAAGAUAAAUCUUAUUCUAUCUGUUCUUCAUGAGUUUUAGAUAAUUUUAGUUGUAUUUCUUUGUAAUUUUGUGUUGUACAAAGAUUAAUUUAACAUUUUCUCUGGAAGUAUUAAUUUAGAAAGAUAAUAUGCUUCAUUGGUGUUGUGUUUUGAAGUGUGAAAAGCAAAGUAAUUGUGAUAAAGUCAAGAUAAAGUUCACUUUUAAACUGAACUAAAUAAGGUAUCUGAGAGACAACAAUGGUUAAAUGCAAUACAAUGUACAGGUUUUACUAGCGAAAUGAAAAUUUUCCUGUCCUGUCUGCUGUAAUCAUUUUAUAUCUGGUAAGUUACAAUUACAACAGUAACGAUUUUUGAAGAUGUUAACAUUUUAAUCUUAUAGGAAAAUAGGAAAACCAGCAGACUUAAUCGAUAAUAAGAAUCUCCAGAUUGGGUUCCUUCAAUAAAUAUGGGCUAUAAACACAAUGAAAUAAGUUCCCCAAAAUCUAAAAUGGAGUGGUAUCAAAGGAGAAUUAAAGGAAAAAAUAUUCAUAUUGAAAUUAUUUAUAAGGCACUGGACUGUCUUAAAUUCUACAAUAAUACUAGAAUCAGCUGAGAGAAGUAGUCUACAAAAAACCAGGAAGGAAACGGAAUAUGUGGCUACGAAAGGCAAAAGAAAGGUUUACAAAGCAAAUGUGACACAUUUUUUUGAAAUAUUUAGGAAUAUCAGUAAAUUGCAUUAAAAAAUGUAUGAAAAGAUUUUGUUCAAUAAAAAUGUUUAUAUUUA
rnacentral:lncRNA from 1 species